rnacentral:rRNA from 1 species
UUUAAAUUGAGAGUUUGAUCCUGGCUCAGGACGAACGCUGGCGGCGUGCCUAACACAUGCAAGUCGAGCGAUGAAACUUCCUUCGGGAAGUGGAUUAGCGGCGGACGGGUGAGUAACACGUGGGUAACCUGCCUCAAAGAGGGGGAUAGCCUCCCGAAAGGGAGAUUAAUACCGCAUAACAUUAUUUUAUGGCAUCAUAAAAUAAUCAAAGGAGCAAUCCGCUUUGAGAUGGACCCGCGGCGCAUUAGCUAGUUGGUGAGGUAACGGCUCACCAAGGCAACGAUGCGUAGCCGACCUGAGAGGGUGA